CCGAACUUGGCGCAGCUGGUAGCGUAGAGGACUGUAAUGGAUUUAGUCAUCCUUUGGUCGCCAGUUCAAGUCUGGCAGUUCGGA
rnacentral:tRNA from 1 species